rnacentral:rRNA from 1 species
AGCAUAUCAAUAAGCGGAGGAAAAGAAACCAACAGGGAUUGCCUUAGUAACGGCGAGUGAAGCGGCAAUAGCUCAAAUUUGAAAGCUGGCCCUUUCAGGGUCCGCAUUGUAAUUUGUAGAGGAUGAUUCGGCGAGGGCUCCCGCCUAAGUCCCCUGGAACGGGGCGUCAUAGAGGGUGAGAAUCCCGUAUGCGGUGGGUUGCCUUAGCCAUGUGAAUCUCCUUCGACGAGUCGAGUUGUUUGGGAAUGCAGCUCUAAAUGGGAGGUAAAUUUCUUCUAAAGCUAAAUACCGGCCAGAGACCGAUAGCGCACAAGUAGAGUGAUCGAAAGAUGAAAAGCACUUUGGAAAGAGAGUUAAAAAGUACGUGAAAUUGUUGAAAGGGAAGGGCUUGCAACUAGACUUGUCCGCAGUUGCUCAACUGGUCUCCUGACCGGUGUACUCUUCUGCGGCCAGGCCAGCAUCAGUUCAGGCGGUCGGAUAAAGACCUUGGGAAUGUAGCUCCCCUCGGGGAGUGUUAUAGCCCAGGGUGGAAUGCGGCCAGUUUGGACUGAGGAUCUCGCUUCGGCAAGGAUGCUGGCAUAAUGGUUGUAAGCCGCCCGUCUUGAAACACGGACCAAGGAGUCUAACAUCUAUGCGAGUGUUUGGGUGUCAAACCCAUACGCGUAAUGAAAGUGAACGGAGGUGGGAACCCGCAAGGGUGCACCAUCGGCCGAUCCUGAUGUCUUCGGAUGGAUUUGAGCAAGAGCAUAGCUGUUGGGACCCGAAAGAUGGUGAACUAUGCCUGAAUAGGGUGAAGCCAGAGGAAACUCUGGUGGAGGCUCGCAGCGGUUCUGACGUGCAAAUCGAUCGUCAAAUUUGGGUAUAGGGGCGAAAGACUAAUCGAACCAUC